CACCGAAGGAGGACCUCGCGGCCUAUCAGCUUGUUGGCGGGGUAAAUGGCCCACCAAGGCGACGACGGGUAGCUGGUCUGAGAGGAUGAUCAGCCACAUUGGGACUGAGACACGGCCCAG
rnacentral:rRNA from 1 species